CAAGACCUUGCGCUUUUGGAGCGGCCGAUGUCUGAUUAGCUAGUUGGUGNGGUAAAGGCUUACCAAGGCGUCGAUCAGUAGCUGGUCUGAGAGGACGACCAGCCACACUGGGACUGAGACACGGCCCAGACUCCUACGGGAGGCAGCAGUGGGGAAUUUUGGACAAUGGGGGAAACCCUGAUCCAGCCAUGCCGCGUGAGUGAAGAAGGCCUUCGGGUUGUAAAGCUCUUUCAGCCGGAANGAAANGGUCNNGGUUAAUACCCGNGANUAAUGACGGUACCGGAAGAAGAAGCACCGGCUAACUACGUGCCAGCAGCCGCGGUAAUACGUAGGGUGCGAGCGUUAAUCGGAAUUACUGGGCGUAAAGCGUGCGCAGGCGGUUUUGUAAGUCAGA
rnacentral:rRNA from 1 species